rnacentral:rRNA from 1 species
GAUGAACGCUGGCGGCGUGCCUAAUACAUGCAAGUCGAGCGAACGGACGAGAAGCUUGCUUCUCUGAUGUUAGCGGCGGACGGGUGAGUAACACGUGGAUAACCUACCUAUAAGACUGGGAUAACUUCGGGAAACCGUAGCUAAUACCGGAUAAUAUUUUGAACCGCAUGGUUCAAAAGUGAAAGACGGUCUUGCUGUCACUUAUAGAUGGAUCCGCGCUGCAUUAGCUAGUUGGUAAGGUAACGGCUUACCAAGGCAACGAUGCAUAGCCGACCUGAGAGGAUGAUCGGCCACACUGGAACUGAGACACGGUCCAGACUCCUACGGGAGGCAGCAGUAGGGAAUCUUCCGCAAUGGGCGAAAGCCUGACGGAGCAACGCCGCGGGAGUGAUGAAGGUUUUCGGAUCGUAAAACUCUGUUAUUAGGGAAGAACAUAUGUGUAAGUAACUGUGCACAUUUUGACGGUACCUAAUCAGAAAACCACGGCUAACUACGU